GACGAACCGUCCAAACGUUAUUCGGAAUCACUGGGCUUAAAGGGCGCGUAGGCGGGCUUGAAAGUCAGGGGUGAAAUCCCACGGCUCAACCGUGGAAGAGCCUUUGAUACUGCGGGUCUAGAGGGAUGUAGGGGCGUGCGGAACUUCCGGUGGAGCGGUGAAAUGCGUAGAUAUCGGAAGGAACACCGGUGGCGAAAGCGGCACGCUGGACAUCUACUGACGCUGAGGCGCGAAAGCCAGGGGAGCAAACGGG
rnacentral:rRNA from 1 species